rnacentral:rRNA from 1 species
GGUUCGAUCAUGAAUUGAACGCUGGCGGGAUGCUUUACACAUGCAAGUCGAACGGCAGCACGGACUUCGGUCUACUGGUGGCGAGUGGCGAACGGGUGAGUAAAUGUAUCGGAACGUGCCUAGUAGCGGGGGAUAACUACGCGGCAGCUAAUACCGCAUACGCCCUUCGAGAAAAGCGGGGACCUUCGGGCCUCGCACUAUUAGAGCGGCCGAUAUCGGAUUAGCUGGUUGGUGGGGCGCUUGGCUCACCAAGGCGACGAUCCGUAGCUGGUUUGAGAGGACGACCAGCCACACUGGGACUGAGACAGCCCAGACUCCUACGGGAGGCAGCAGUGGGGAAUUUUGGACAAUGGGGAAACCCUGAUCGGCAUCGCGUGUGCAGAUGAAGGCCUUCGGGUUGUAAAGCACUUUUGGCAGGAAAGAAACGGCACGGAUAUUCCCGUGCAACGACACAGAAUAAGCACCGGCUAACUACGUGCCAGCAGCCGCGGUAAUACGUAAGUGCAAGCGUUAAUCGGAAUUACUGGGCGUAAAGCGUGCGCGAGCGGUUCCGGAAAAGAAGGAUGUGAAAUCCCAGGCUUAACUUUGGAACUGCAUUUUUAACUACCGAGCUAAGUGCUCAGGGAGGUGGAAUUCCGCGUGUAGCAGUGAAAUGCGUAGAUAUGCGGAGAACACCGAUGGCGAAAAACAGCCUCCUGGGAUAACAUGACGCUCAUGCACGAAAAGCGUGGGAGCAAACAGGAUUAGAUACCUGGUAGUCCACGCCUAAACGAUGUCAACUAGCUGUUGGGGCCUUCGGGCCUUGGUAGCGCAGCUAACGCGUGAAGUUGACCGCCUGGGGAGUACGGUCGCAGAAUUAGCCAAAGAAAUUGGCGGGGACCCGCACAAGCGGUGGAUGGUAUGGAUUAAUUCGAUGCAACGCGAAAAACCUUACCUACCCUUGACAUGUCUGGAAUCCCGAAGAGAUUUAGGAGUGCUCGCAAGAGAACCGGAGACUUACAGGUGCUGCAUGGCUGUCGUCAGCUCGUGUCGUGAGAUGUUGGGUUAAGUCCCGCAACGAGCGCAACCCUCGUCAUUAGUUGCUACGAAAGAGGGCACUCUAAUGAGACUGCCGGUCUGACAAACCGGAGGAAGGUGGGGAUGACGUCGAGUCCUCAUGGCCCUUAUGGGUAGGGCUUCACACGUCAUACAAUGGUCAGGACAGAGGGUCGCCAACCCGCGGAGGCCAAUCUCCCAGAAACCCGAUCAUGGUGGAUCACCAGUCUGCAACUCGACUGCGUGAAAUUGAGAUCGCUAGUAAUCGCGGAUCAGCAUGUCGCGGUGAAUACGUUCCCAGGUCUUGUACACACCGCCCGUCCACACCAUGGGAGUGGAGGUUUUACCAGAAGUAGUUGGCCUAACCGUAAGGAGGGCGAUUACCACGGUAGGAUUCAUGACUGGGGUGAAGUCGUAACAGGUAGC